rnacentral:rRNA from 1 species
CCUACGGGAGGCAGCAGUGGGGAAUAUUGGGCAAUGGAGGCAACUCUGACCCAGCAACGCCGCGUGAAUGAUGACGGUCUUCGGAUUGUAAAGUUCUGUGAUGGGGGAUGAACACAAUGACGGUACCCCAAUAGCAAGCCACGGCUAACUACGUGCCAGCAGCCGCGGUAAUACGUAGGUGGCGAGCGUUAUCCGGAAUGAUUGGGGGUAAAGGGUGCGUAGGUGGUUUAGUAAGUUGGCGGUGUAAUUCCGUGGCUCAACCGCGGCACUACCGCCAAAACUAUUAGACUAGAGUGCAGGAGGGGUAGGGGGAAGUCGUAGUGUAGCGGUGGAAUGCGUAGAUAUUAGGAAGAACAUCGAGUGCGAAGGCAACUUACUGGACUGUAACUGACACUGAGGCACGAAAGCGUGGGGAGCAAACAGGAUUAGAUACCCCUGUAGUC